CCUACGGGGGGCUGCAGUGGGGAAUAUUGCACAAUGGGCGCAAGCCUGAUGCAGCCAUGCCGCGUGUGUGAAGAAGGCCUUCGGGUUGUAAAGCACUUUCAGCGGGGAGGAAGGCGGUGAGGUUAAUAACCUCAUCGAUUGACGUUACCCGCAGAAGAAGCACCGGCUAACUCCGUGCCAGCAGCCGCGGUAAUACGGAGGGUGCAAGCGUUAAUCGGAAUUACUGGGCGUAAAGCGCACGCAGGCGGUCUGUCAAGUCGGAUGUGAAAUCCCCGGGCUCAACCUGGGAACUGCAUUCGAAACUGGCAGGCUAGAGUCUUGUAGAGGGGGGUAGAAUUCCAGGUGUAGCGGUGGAAUGCGUAGAGAUCUGGAGGAAUACCGGUGGCGAAGGCGGCCCCCUGGACAAAGACUGACGCUCAGGUGCGAAAGCGUGGGGAGCAAACAGGAUUAGAUACCCGAGUAGUC
rnacentral:rRNA from 1 species